UNAUGGGCGCGAGCCUGAACCAGCCAGUAGCGUGAAGGAUGAAGGCUCUANGGGUCGUAAACUUCUUUUAUAUGGGAAUAAAGUAUUCCACGUGUGGAAUUUUGUAUGUACCAUAUGAAUAAGGAUCGGCUAACUCCGUGCCAGCAGCCGCGGUAAUACGGAGGAUCCGAGCGUUAUCCGGAUUUAUUGGGUUUAAAGGGAGCGUAGGUGGAUUGUUAAGUCAGUUGUGAAAGUUUGCGGCUCAACCGUAAAAUUGCAGUUGAAACUGGCAGUCUUGAGUACAGUAGAGGUGGGCGGAAUUCGUGGUGUAGCGGUGAAAUGCUUAGAUAUCACGAAGAACUCCGAUUGCGAAGGCAGCUCACUAGACUGUUACUGACACUGAUGCUCGAAAGUGUGGGUAUCAAACAGGAUUAGAUACCCUGGUAGUCCAAGGGCGAAUUC
rnacentral:rRNA from 1 species